rnacentral:rRNA from 1 species
AGAGUUUGAUCCUGGCUCAGAACGAACGCUGGCGGCGUGGAUUAGGCAUGCAAGUCGAACGGUAUUUUUCAGAUGGAUCCUUCGGGUGAAGUUUGAUUAAGAGAGUGGCGAACGGGUGAGUAACACGUGGGCAACCUGCCCCUAAGUUUGGGAUAGCCCGCCGAAAGGCGGGGUAAUACCGGAUGUGGUCGCUCCGCGAUUGCGGAGUUGUCUAAAAGUGGGGAUUCUUCGGAACCUAUUGCUUAGGGAUGGGCCCGCGGCCUAUCAGCUUGUUGGUGAGGUAACGGCUCACCAAGGCAGAGACGGGUAGCUGGUCUGAGAGGAUGGUCAGCCACACUGGGACUGAGACACUGCCCAGACUCCUACGGGAGGCUGCAGUCGAGAAUCAUUCACAAUGCGCGAAAGCGUGAUGAUGCGACGCCGCGUGGAGGAUGACGGCCUUCGGGUUGUAAACUCCUGUCAUGAGGGAACAAGGAUACCGGGGUUAACACCCCCGCUAUUUGAUGGUACCUCAAGAGGAAGCCACUGCUAACUCUGUGCCAGCAGCCGCGGUAAUACAGAGGUGGCGAGCGUUGUUCGGAUUUACUGGGCGUAAAGGGUGCGUAGGCGGUUUUGUGUGUCAGAUGUGAAAUCUCACCGUCCAACGGUGAAACUGCAUUUGAAACUGCAGAACUAGAGUACAGGAGGGGAGAGCGGAAUUCUCGGUGUAGCGGUGAAAUGCGUAGAUAUCGAGAAGAACGCCGGUGGCGAAGGCGGCCCUCUGGACUGAUACUGACGCUGAGGCACGAAAGUUGGGGGAGCGAACAGGAUCAGAUACCCUGGUAGUCCCAACCGUAAACGGUGUGCACUUGGUGUGGGUGGGUUUGUCCCCAUCCGUGCCGGAGCUAACGCGUUAAGUGCACCGCCUGGGGAGUACGGUCGCAAGACUAAAACUCAAAGGAAUUGACGGGGGCCCGCACAAGCGGUGGAGCAUGUGGCUUAAUUCGAUGCAACGCGAAGAACCUUACCUGGGCUUGACAUGUAACUGCACGCCCCGUGAAAGCGGGGAAGCCUUCGAGGGUGUUACACAGGUGCUGCAUGGCUGUCGUCAGCUCGUGCCGUGAGGUGUUGGGUUAAGUCCCGCAACGAGCGCAACCCCUGUGGUUAGUUGCCACUUCAGCCGAAAGGUUGGAAGCACUCUAACCAGACUGCCUGUGACAAGCAGGAGGAAGGUGGGGAUGACGUCAAGUCAGUAUGGUCCUUAUGUCAGGGCUGCACACGUGCUACAAUGGGCGGUACAGAACGACGCGAAACCGCGAGGUGGAGCAAAUCGUCAAAGCCGUCCUCAGUUCGGAUUGGAGUCUGCAACUCGACUCCAUGAAGCCGGAAUCGCUAGUAAAGGCGUAUCAGCUACGACGCCUUGAAUACGUUCCCGGGCCUUGUACACACCGCCCGUCACAUCACGAAAGUCGACUGCACCCGAAGUCGCCGAGCCAAUUCAUUUCGGUGAAAGGCAGGUGCCGAAGGUGUGGUUGAUGAUUGGGAUACU